rnacentral:miRNA from 1 species
GGGUUCGAAGUAUGUCUCUCUUU